CAUGGAUGGAGACAGCAGAACCGCUGAAACAUGAAGAAAACACAAAAAGGUGGACAGACAGGUCAUUAAAUAAUAGCAGAUAGAAAUGACGACUCCCGCAGUUGAGCCUUGCAGUAAGGUCUGCACUGACAUUGAGAAGCACUGCCUUACCUUCACAUCGCAUCAAUUUGACCAUGGCAUGUCCGGCAUGAUAGAGUGAAAAGUAGUUCUCCUCCCAUCCUGUGUGGAAGUGGUAAGUUUUUGUCUUCUUCACUUUAUUCAGUUUAGAAAUAAAUAAAUAUAAACGCAAUGAGAUGGACUUAAAGAUCCAAAAUUCAUUCCAGAUACACAAUAUUACCAUUUCUCUCAAACAUUGUUCACAAAUCUGUCUAAGUGUGUGAUAGUGAGCACUUGUUGCUUUGCGGAGAUAAUCCAUCCAACCUCAUAGGUGUGCCUUAGACUGUCCACAAUAAAAGGCCACCCAGAAAUGUGCAUUUUUUUUUUUUGCUUUAUUGGGGGUCUGGGGACUCAGAACCAGUCAGUAUCUGGG